GCUUGGGUAGUUCAGUGGCAGAAUUCUCGCUUCGGGUUGAUCACCCGCUGGUGUCAAACACAAGUCUGAAGUGUGAGAGGUCGUGGGUUCAACUCCCACCUCAAGCC